AAGGCUUUCAAAAGGUUUUAUUUCAUUUUAAACCCUAGGGUUUCACCCAUUUGAGCUUUGGAUCUUAAAACCAAUGGGGUUUAACUAUAAAAGGGGUUUAUUACAUAAAUAAGUUAUCCCAUAUUUUUGGGUAUUUAUUUGGAGUUGAAAAGGUAUUUUAUUUAAAUAGUUAUAUAGCCCUAAAGGCAUUUACAGGGCAAAUGUAUUUUUAUGUAUUUUAUUUUGAGGCGAAAUUACUCCCAAAAGUUGAAUAAUGAUAAAACAUUAUUUUAAAAAAAUUCUGGAAUUUAGUUGGAUCAAUUUUGAGUUCAAAAUCAAAAGAUAUCAAAGAAAUCAGAAAAAGAAAAAGAGAAAAGGCUAAAAGGAAAAAAGAAAAAGGGAAGCGGACCGGCCCGGCCGGAUUGGGCCGAACCAGCCCAUCCCUCGCGCGCGCACCGCAGCCCCGCCGGCCCAGCGCCGCUUGCGCCCGCCGUGAGCCACUAACAGGAGGGGCCCACCUGUCAGGCGCUUCGUC
rnacentral:lncRNA from 1 species